rnacentral:rRNA from 1 species
GUAGUCCAUGCCGUAAACGUUGGGCACUAGGUGUGGGGGACAUUCCACGUUUUCCGCGCCGUAGCUAACGCAUUAAGUGCCCCGCCUGGGGAGUACGGCCGCAAGGCUAAAACUCAAAGGAAUUGACGGGGGCCCGCACAAGCGGCGGAGCAUGCGGAUUAAUUCGAUGCAACGCGAAGAACCUUACCAAGGCUUGACAUGCAUUAGAUCGCGUCAGAGAUGGCGUUUCCCUUCGGGGCUGGUGUACAGGUGGUGCAUGGUUGUCGUCAGCUCGUGUCGUGAGAUGUUGGGUUAAGUCCCGCAACGAGCGCAACCCUCGUUCUAUGUUGCCAGCGGUUCGGCCGGGGACUCAUAGGAGACUGCCGGGGUUAACUCGGA